AUUGAACGCUGGCGGCAUGCCUUACACAUGCAAGUCGAACGGUAACAGGUCUUCGGAUGCUGACGAGUGGCGAACGGGUGAGUAAUACAUCGGAACGUGCCCAGACGUGGGGGAUAACGAGGCGAAAGCUUUGCUAAUACCGCAUACGAUCUAAGGAUGAAAGCAGGGGACCGCAAGGCCUUGCGCGUUUGGAGCGGCCGAUGGCAGAUUAGGUAGGGGGUGGGAUAAAAGCUUACCAAGCCGACGAUCUGUAGCUGGACUGAGAGGACGACCAGCAACACGGGGACUGAGACACGGCCCAGACUCCUACGGGAGGCAGCAGUGGGGAAUUUUGGACAAUGGGCGAAAGCCUGAUUCAGCAAUGCCGCGUGCAGGAUGAAGGGCUUCGGGUUGUAAACUGCUUUUGUUAGGGAAGAAAUCUUUUGAGCUAAUACCUCGGAAGGACGACGGUACCUAAAGAAUAAGCACCGGCUAACUACGUGCCAGCAGCCGCUGUAA
rnacentral:rRNA from 1 species